rnacentral:rRNA from 1 species
UACGUAGGGGGCAAGCGUUGUCCGGAAUCAUUGGGCGUAAAGAGCGCGUAGGCGGCUUGGCAAGUCUGGUGUGAAAUCUUGCGGCUCAACCGCAAGCGGUCACUGGAAACUGCCUCGCUAGAGUCCGGAAGAGGAGAGCGGAAUUCCUGGUGUAGCGGUGGAAUGCGCAGAUAUCAGGAAGAACACCCGUGGCGAAGGCGGCUCUCUGGGACGGUACUGACGCUGAGACGCGAAAGCGUGGGGAGCGAACAGG